UCCUGUGUGGCUCAGUUGGUAGAGCAUGGUGUUUGCAACGCCAGGGUUCUGGGUUCGAUACCCAUGGGGGAA
rnacentral:tRNA from 1 species